rnacentral:lncRNA from 1 species
UGACCUUAUAGAAAAGAUUGUAUAGAUUGCAAGGUAUCCUCGAUAUUCGGCUUCUGAGAGGGUGGUGAUGCAAAAGUAGGAUGUGCAGGUGGAGGAGAUGAAUGGUGUGACUGUUGAGGAUGAUCGUUUCUCCACCUAAAAUUUGGAUGAUUCUUCCAACCAGGGUUAUAAGUAUUCGAGAAUGGAUCGUUAUAAGGCUUUUGGUAGGAGUUCAUAGCAUUUGCUUGAUC